AUGAGGAGGAAGACGCAGUGAACUGAAACAUCUAAGUAGCUGCAGGAAGAGAAAGCAAAAGCGAUUGCCUUAGUAGCGGCGAGCGAAACGGCAGGAGGGCAAACCGAAGAGUUUACUCUUCGGGGUUGUAGGACUGCAAUGUGGACUCAGAUUUUAUAGAAGAAUGACAUGGGAAGGUCAGCCAAAGAGAGUAAUAGCCUCGUAUUUUAAAUAGAAUCUGUACCUAGCAGAAUCCUGAGUACGGCGGGACACGCGAAAUCCCGUCGGAAUCUGGGAGGACCAUCUCCCAACCCUAAAUACUCCCUAGUGACCGAUAGUGAACCAGUACCGUGAGGGAAAGGUGAAAAGCACCCCGGGAGGGGAGUGAAAUAGAACCUGAAACCGUGUGCCUACAACAAGUUCGAGCCCGUUAAUGGGUGAGAGCGUGCCUUUUGUAGAAUGAACCGGCGAGUUACGAUAUGAUGCGAGGUUAAGUUGAAGAGACGGAGCCGUAGGGAAACCGAGUCUGAAUAGGGCGCUUUAGUAUCAUGAUGUAGACCCGAAACCAUGUGACCUACCCAUGAGCAGGUUGAAGGUGCGGUAAAACGCACUGGAGGACCGAACCAGGGCACGUUGAAAAGUGCUUGGAUGACUUGUGGGUAGCGGAGAAAUUCCAAACGAACUUGGAGAUAGCUGGUUCUCUCCGAAAUAGCUUUAGGGCUAGCGUCGACAUGAAGAUUCUUGGAGGUAGAGCACUGUUUGGGUGAGGGGUCCAUCCCGGAUUACCAAUCUCAGAUAAACUCCGAAUGCCAAUGAAUUAUGGUCGGCAGUCAGACUGCGAGUGCUAAGAUCCGUAGUCGAAAGGGAAACAGCCCAGACCACCAGCUAAGGUCCCAAAAUAAUUGUUAAGUGGAAAAGGAUGUGGGGUUGCACAGACAACUAGGAUGUUAGCUUAGAAGCAGCUAUUCAUUCAAAGAGUGCGUAAUAGCUCACUAGUCGAGUGACCCUGCGCCGAAAAUGUACCGGGGCUAAAACAAUUUACCGAAGCUGUGGAUCCCUUAGGGGAUGGUAGGAGAGCGUUCUAUGUGUGGAGAAGGUGUACCGUGAGGAGCGCUGGAACGCAUAGAAGUGAGAAUGCCGGUAUGAGUAGCGAAAGACAGGUGAGAAUCCUGUCCACCGUAAGACUAAGGUUUCCAGGGGAAGGCUCGUCCGCCCUGGGUUAGUCGGGACCUAAGGAGAGACCGAAAGGUGUAUCCGAUGGACAACAGGUUGAUAUUCCUGUACUAGAGUAUGUAGUGAUGGAGGGACGCAGUAGGCUAACUAAAGCAGACGAAUGGAAGUGUCUGUCUAAGCAGUGAGGUGUGAAUUGAGUCAAAUGCUUAAUUCUAUAACAUUGAGCUGUGAUGGGGAGCGAAGUUUAGUAGCGAAGUUAGUGACGUCACACUGCCAAGAAAAGCUUCUAGCGUUUAAACAUACUCUACCCGUACCGCAAACCGACACAGGUAGUCGAGGCGAGUAGCCUCAGGUGAGCGAGAGAACUCUCGUUAAGGAACUCGGCAAAAUGACCCCGUAACUUCGGGAGAAGGGGUGCUGACUUUAAGUCAGCCGCAGUGAAUAGGCCCAAGCAACUGUUUAUCAAAAACACAGCUCUCUGCUAAAUCGUAAGAUGAUGUAUAGGGGGUGACGCCUGCCCGGUGCUGGAAGGUUAAGAGGAGUGCUUAGGAGUAAUCCGAAGGUAUGAAUUGAAGCCCCAGUAAACGGCGGCCGUAACUAUAACGGUCCUAAGGUAGCGAAAUUCCUUGUCGGGU
rnacentral:rRNA from 1 species